rnacentral:misc_RNA from 1 species
GUAUAGUUUGCGUGCAUUAGCAUGCGCUCAGUCAAUUUCACUCGUCAAAACACUCGUUGGAACAAACAGUCUGCCAUGGUACACAGUACCGGCGUUCAAUAAUGAUCCUUCCGCAGGUUCACCUACGGAAA